UUGCUGAUAUGAAGAUGCACAGAGAAAGUUUUUACUGAGGAGGACCUGAACUUAUAUUUGAGCCGUAAAUCUCCGUUAGGUUCAAUUAAAUUCUUUUGGGGUGAUUGAAGGAAGCAGAGUAGAUCCAGGUUCACUAAAUGUGAAGCCCUUUCAGAAUAAAAGUCCAGGUUUAUUCAACACCCUGAUUAUAAAGGGUGUAAAGUUUUUGAUCACUACUCUGAACUAUGGACUCCUGAACUCAGUCACUGCCUGUGAUGCUUCAUAAAUCUGAUGUCCAGUGUAAACAAGUCAAACUGAAGUUUUAGUGGUAAAAUGUGAAAACAAAGUAAAUCUGAAUGUAAUGUAACAUUCAGUGAUGGAGGAUAAAAUGUUGUUUCAGGCUCCUGAUUCAGUAUCUCUGAUGGUUCACUGCCCUCUAGUGGGGAAGUUUAAGUGUGGCACAUUCAGGCUUCAUCACUGUGAGUGCUUCCUCCUCUGUCUGCUUUAAAGGGUCAGUUCACCCAAAUUACAAAAAGACACUUUCUCUCUUACCUUCAGUGGUGUGUAGCCACGCAGGUAGUUUUGUUCUGUUUCUCUGAACACUGUGAGGUUUGGAGGUUUCUUCAAAUGUUAGGUGACUUUUUAUUUGAUCCCAAUCUACAUGUUGGACAUCUCUGCACAGUUUCUCAAUCUGAACCACCUAAAUGAGCCAAAUUCAUUAUAACCCAUUGUGUGUCCUCAUCAGAUCCCACCAGUCUUCUUGAACUAUGUGUGUCAAUCACGACUUUAGUGCGAUGUGGGUGUUGACUGGCAUUUGGCACGUCAUAUAUGUUAAUAAGCUAAAGAGGAAGUACAUCUAGUGGUUUAAGAGCUUGUUAUCUGACUUCUGCUCACUCACAACUGAGGAACGGCUUCUUUCAAGACGACGUCCGUCUUCACUAGAGAUCAGAGGAGCAGAUAUGAGUUUAAGUGCAGCAGUGAGUGGAUUUGUCGUCUUCCUUCUCUCUGUGUCAGUUUUCACACUUACCUCAGCAGCAUCCUGACCACAGAGUGAACAGAGAGAAGUGACCAAGAACAGCACAGACUCUAAUAAAUAAUAUUUCUCAUGUUAUCCUGGUCAGUAAACUGCAUUAAAGGUCACAGGUUCAAUACAUUCCUGUUCACUUCACUGCACCUUCAGACUGGGUGCACACUGAGUUUAACUGUAGAAAGCAUGUUCACAUCUUCCACUCUUCCUUUGUUUGUGUUCAUCCUCCCUAAAGGGAAGUUAACAUGUGGGUGGAGUAACAUGAG